rnacentral:rRNA from 1 species
AAACUUUUGGAUGGGCGACCGGCGCGACGGGUGAGUAACACGUAUCCAACCUGCCUCAUACUCGGGGAUAGCCUUUCGAAAGAAAGAUUAAUACCCGAUGUCAUAGUCCUACCGCAUGAUGGGAUUAUUAAAGAAUUUCGGUAUGGGAUGGGGGUGCGUUCCAUUAGUUAGUUGGCGGGGUAACGGCCCACCAAGACAACGAUGGAUAGGGGUUCUGAGAGGAAGGUCCCCCACAUUGGAACUGAGACACGGUCCAAACUCCUACGGAAGGCAGCAG